GGGGGCAACCCUGACGCAGCAACGCCGCGUGAAGGAUGGAGGUUUUCGGAUUGUAAACUUCUUUUAUUAAGGACGAAACUUGACGGUACUUAAUGAAUAAGCUCCGGCUAACUACGUGCCAGCAGCCGCGGUAAUACGUAGGGAGCAAGCGUUGUCCGGAUUUACUGGGUGUAAAGGGUGCGUAGGCGGCUUUGCAAGUCAGAUGUGAAAUCUAUGGGCUCAACCCAUAAACUGCAUUUGAAACUGUAGAGCUUGAGUGAAGUAGAGGCAGGCGGAAUUCCCCGUGUAGCGGUGAAAUGCGUAGAGAUGGGGAGGAACACCAGUGGCGAAGGCGGCCUGCUGGGCUUUAACUGACGCUGAGGCACGAAAGCGUGGGUAGCAAACAGGAUUAGAUACCCUGGUAGUCCACGCUGUAAACGAUGAUUACUAGGUGUGGGGGGUCUGACCCCUUCCGUGCCGGAGCUAAAAAG
rnacentral:rRNA from 1 species